AUGCGCCUGGGGACCAUGUUGUUCGGCCGUUGUGGCGCCGCCGUUUUCCUCGGUCGCGGCGCCCGGGUCCUGGGGCUGGACCUCGGGGGAGGGGGGGAGCCUUUUGUUUAUGACUGUACAGCUGAACCAAGGGAGGCUGAAGCUGGGGGCAGUGAUGAGGUUGUAGCUUUCGCCUUUUCUCCCUCGGGAACCUAUCUUGCUGUGACUGCGGACAACAAGCAGCUGAUCCUGUUUAGGACAAGACCCUGGGAGUGUCUUAGUGUGCGAAAUGCUGUUCGUCGAUCCACCUCGCUUGCAAUUACAGUGGCAGAGGACCAAGUCUUACUUGCUGACAAAUCCGGGGAUGUCUACAGCUUCUCGAUUCAUGAUCCACAGAGACCAGGGCAACUGCAGCUUGGGCAUCUCUCCAUGCUGUUAGCUGUGGCAGUUAGUCCAGAUGAUCGAUUUGUGAUUACAGCAGACCGUGAUGAGAAGAUUCGAGUCACUUUACUGGAACAACCAUAUACCAUUGAGGCCUUUUGUCUGGGACACAGCGAGUUUGUCAGUGAACUAUGCAUUCCACCAAAUCACCCUCAGCUGCUCUUGUCUGGCUCUGGGGAUGGCACAGUCAGGCUAUGGGAAUACCAAAGUGGAAUGGAGCUAGACUGCUUUAAGAUGACUGAUUUACAAGCUUCUGGAUGUCAGAAGGUCAGGUGUGCCGUGGUGCGGAUCGUCCAUUGCAGAUGGGGUGAUUACUUCGCUGUUCUUUGUGAUGGUCUCUCCUCAGUCCACAUCUUUGAGCUGGAUGUUUCAACUCAGAAAAUGAAUCAUCGGCAGACAAUCACAGUGAAACAACGAGCCUGGGAUAUAGCAUUUGAUGAUUCCAUGGGUCUCUGGAUCUUGGAUGGAGAAAUGGUUGUUAUGUAUCAACCACAGGAGGGCCACUGGCAGAAUAUUCCAGAACAUCCAGACCAACGGAAAAUCGAAGAGGCAAUUCGUGCUAAGUGGGAGGAAUUGCAGGACUCUGCUACUGGAAACAGCUACAACGGUUUGUACAAGAUGACUGGGGAUAAUAUGGCCCAGUAUCAGUCGAAGAAAGAGCUGCGAAUUCAGCAGAGACAGAACAAAAGGACAUUGGAGACAGGACAGAUGAGCGGACGCAGCAAAAGGACAAGGGUGUGAAUGCUGACGUGAUAUGACCUGGUAACUGGAGGCCUUUCAUGAAUGUAGUCCAAGUCCUCUGCAGUUUGCUAGUGAGGAGCUCAUUAGUAGGAGAGAAGCUGGCUGCUGCAGUCCUCUGGCAACACAGAUUUCCAGCAUUUUCAGGUUUUCGUAGUUGUUAAUGGACUAACACCAAAGCUCAGAACUGUUGAUCCAGAGACACAGGCAGCUGGGGAAUAUAAGUCUAAAAUAUUAAAUCAACCUGGAAUUACAAAAACAAACUGGUUUUAGCAACUGUAAUCAUGAAACUAUUGGAUUGUGGUAAAACGCAUCUAGUUCAUGGUCCUGAAGAAAAGGAACCCUGCUGUGUUUGCCUUAGGGUCCAGACCCCCCCCGGUAUGGUUGGCUUCAAACUGCCUCCUCAGUUCAGGGUAAUUAGACAAUAAAGGCUGGCGUUGACAGCAGCAUCACAUUCUGUGAAGUAAUGAAUAAAAACGAAAGCUAAUGGUAUAGAAGGUAACAUUGGCAUAGAUUGAAGAUUGUUGAGCUAACAGGAAACUAUAGGCACAAAUGGGUCUUUUUCUGGUUGGUACAAUGUAAAGAGUGAUAGUGUAGGUACUGGUUUUGGGAGCUCAAUUUUCUGCACAUGGGCUUGGUGGAAGGAGACAGAGGGUGGUAGUGGAGGGUUGUUAUUCAGGUCAGGCCCUGUGACCAGUGGUGUGUCACAGGGAUCAGUGCUGGAUUCUCUGUUUGUCAGCCAUAUUAACGAUUUGGAAGACAAAUUUUGUUAAUGUGGUUAGUAAGUUUGCGGAUGAUAAAAUCAGUGGCGUAGUGGACAGUGAAUGGGGUUAUCUAGGUUUACAAGGGGAUCGAGACAAACUUGGGAAGUGAGCCAGAGAAUGACAAAUGGAAUUUAACUCGUCCUAUGCAGGUUUGUUAUUCCAUGAAAGUGUUGACAGAGACAGGGUGGUGAAGAAGGAGUUUGAAAAGCUUGCCUUCGUCAGUCAGGACAUUGAGUACAGGAGUUGGGAUGUCAUGUUACAGUUGUACAAGUCAUCGAUGAGACAGGACUUGGGGUACUUUGUGCAGUUUUGGUCACCUAGGUAUAGGAAGGAUGUCCUUGAGCUGGAAAGGGUGCAGAAAAGAUUCACAAGGAUGUUACUGGGACUGGAGACCUUGAGCUCUAAGGAGAGACUGGACAGGCUUGGACAGCAUAGGAGGUUGAGGAGUGCCCUUGUAGACAUAUAUAAAAUCAUGAGGGACAGAGAUAAGGUGGAUGGUCACAGUCUUUUUCUCAGAGUAGGGCAGUCUAAAACUAGAGGAGAGGGAUUUAAAGGGGACCUGAGGGGCAAGUUUUUCCACACAGAGGGUGUGGGUAUAUGGAACGAGCUGCCAGAGGAAGUGGUAGAAGCAGGUUCAAUUAUAUUUAAGAGACAUUUAGACAGGUACAUGGAUAGGAAAGGUUUAGAGGGAUAUGGGCCAAAUGCGGGGAAAAUGGGACGAGCUCAGGUAGGCAACUUGGUUGGCAUGGAUGAAUUGGGCUGAAGGGCCUGUUUUUGUGCUGUACAACUCCGACUCACUAUUUAAAUAUCUAAGUAGUGAGAGAUUGGCGAGGUCUAAGAUGCCGAGGAAUCUAGGUGUUCCAGUGCACGAUUCACAAAAAGCCAGUAUGCAGAUACAGUAAAUAAUCAGGAAAACUAAUGUUAUUUAUUGCAUGGAGAAGAGGAUGCAAAGCAAAGGGGUUAGCUUUCGGUUACAUAGGGCGUGGGUGAGACUACUUCUGGAACACUUUACAGUGUUGGUCUCCUUAUGUAAGGAAGGAUGUAAAUGUGUUGGUAACGGUUCAGAGGUUUAUUCAACUAAUGUUUGGAAUUGGUGGGUUUUAUGAAGAAAGAGGCUCGAUUUGUAUCUGAUGGUGUUUAGGAGAACGAGAAUGAUAAUUGAAACAAGAUACUGAGAGUCUUAGCAUGGUGAAUGUUGAAAGGAUAUUCCUCCUGUGGGUGAAUCUAGAGCCAGGGAUUACUUUAAAUGGGUGACCUUUUUUAUUUUAAGAGGCAGCUCUUUAUUUUGAAGGUAGUCAUUUUUGGAACUUUCUUCCUCAAAGGGAGUGUCAGCAGAGUCUAUGAAUAUUUUUAAGGCAGUGGUAGAUAAGUGAGGGGUGAAAGUUAUUUGGGGGUAGAUGGGAAUGUAGAGUUUAGGCUACUGUCAGAUCUUAUUAACUGGUGGAGCAGGCUCAAGGUGAUGAGUGGUCUACACCUACUUGUCUGUACGUUCCUUGCUGUCAGCUCAGUGAUUUUUGUGCAGCGGGUUUCUCCCAAUGUGACACCACAAACUCAGAGAAAUCUCGUGGAUGAAGGGAUGUUUGUAAAGGGUACCAGCAGAUUGGAAAGCUGCAGACGUGUCUCCAUUGUUCAAGAAAAGAGGAAACAAAACGUAGGUAACUCUUGAUUUGUUAAUUUGACAUCUGUUGGCAAGAUAAAAUGUUGAACAGUACAGCGUAGGAACAGGCCCUUCGGCCCGCAAUGUUGUGCUGAACUAAUUAAACUAGUAAUUAAAAGCCUAACUAAACCCUUCUGCCUGCAUAAUGUUCAUAUCUCUCCAUUCUCUGCACAUUCAUGUGCUUAUCUGACAGCCUCUUGAACACCUCUAUUGUAUCCGCCUCCACCACCACCCCUGGCAGCACAUUUCAGGCCCUCACCGCUCUGUGCAGUGAAAAAUAAACUUCCCCCGGACAUCUGCUUUAACCUAGCCCCUAUGUUUCUGUGAAGAGACUGGCUCUCAAUACAAGAGCUCAUGGAAGUGUGUUAGCAUGGAUUAAACAUUGAUUUAGGCAUAGAAGACUGAGUUGGAAUAAACUGUUCUUUCUCUGGCUGGAAAGAUGUAACUAGUGAGUGCCCCAAGGAUCAGUCCUUUGCUUCAUCCUCCAGGUCAUUAACAGAGAUUGUAAAUAAUUGAGGGCUGAGUGCAAGGUAUCCAAGUUUGCCCAUGACAUGCAAACUGGAGAAGCUACAGAACAGGACAGACAUGAAUGCUAAAUCACAAGCAAUGGAGGGAGCUAAAAGCUCACAAUCAGAAGAUCAGAUCAAAGUCCUGCCACAACCAGUUGUUAAAAGGAGGAGACAGCUGCAUCUUCAACAUCGUCAGAGUUCAGCACAUGAAAGAUGGGAACAUUGAAGGACCAUCUCUGCUUGCUCCAUCAUCGGCACCAGCCUUCGCAACUGAUAUCAUAAAACCUCUGGGUGAAGAGAGCACCACUAUCAUCAGCAGAUGCACAGGCAUCCCAAAAGUUUCUGCCAUACUCAUCGAACCUCUGUCUGAAACCUGAAGACCCCAAGGCCUGUUUAUACGAGUUGAUGAGCCAUGCUGCAUAAUCCAAUGUUGUGGAGCCACCUACACCAGCUGUCCUGUGGGUGCUCAUUUCCAGUCCACAACCUUUGUGAUUUCUCCAAGUAAAUCAAAGUAUCAGCUGCUUUCUUUGUCAAUUAGAAAUUUGAACCAUGUUUAUUUUCAGUAAUUGUAAUUUCUAAAGUUCACACUAAUGUUUAAAUCAAACAUAUAAAAAUUACAUCAGGUAGAACAAAUCAACUGGAUUUUACUUUUACUACC